rnacentral:sRNA from 1 species
AAACUUCCCGUUGGGGGAAGGAUGAGAACCUUCGACCAAGGUUCGAGCCGAGCGCAGCGAGACAACGAUGCGCCAGCAUCGGCCCGCAGGGUGAGGAGCGAAGCGACGAAUAAUCCUUCCCCCACCACCA